UACGAAGGGGGCUAGCGUUGCUCGGAAUCACUGGGCGUAAAGCGCACGUAGGCGGAUUCUUAAGUCAGGGGUGAAAUCCUGGAGCUCAACUCCAGAACUGCCUUUGAUACUGGGAGUCUCGAGUCCGGGAGAGGUGAGUGGAACUGCGAGUGUAGAGGUGAAAUUCGUAGAUAUUCGCAAGAACACCAGUGGCGAAGGCGGCUCACUGGCCCGGUACUGACGCUGAGGUGCGAAAGCGUGGGGAGCAAACAGG
rnacentral:rRNA from 1 species